ACCAGAAGGACCCUUCUUGCUCUGAUACUUGCAUUUGCUGGGAAGAACGUAUCAGAAGUUGGCUUCCCUUUCCUGACAAUCCUGUGACUGCAGUAACCAUCAACAGCAACAGCCUCAGCUCAGUCAUUAGCUCUGAAACCAGCCGGAGUGUGGCCAUCCCAUCAGGAAUGGUUUUCAAUGUAGCACACUUCAUGUGACAGAUGUUGGUUUGGGUUUUGCACCCUGGGUGUAUGGAUUCAAGCCUUAAAGAAGAAACAGAGGUGAAGAAGCUGAAGAACCAGCCACUGUGUCUAGAAGGGCCUCUCCCAGCCACAGCAUCCUGCAUGUGGUCAUUUGAUGUGAAAAGGUUUUAGGUGCUGGCCCUCAGCUGGAUCCUGCCAUUCAAUGAGCAGCCCUUUCAGAAGUGCUUGCCAAGAGAUCAAAGAGUGUGCAGACAUGAGAGAUCAGAACAGCCAACACAGCAGAGGCAGGCUGAGCACAGCGAGGUCCCAACAGACGGAGGAACAUUGGGUUCCUGCACAGCCUGGUGUGAGCAGACCAGAGGAGCAGCUCUGCUUUGAGAGGCUGUGGAGGGAUGACGUUGGGAACACAGGCUCCCUGCACAAGGUCUGAGCACGUAAGUCAGUCUCAUGACCUGGGUGACUUCUCCUCUUCUGUGCUAGACAAGGAGGGGCUUUGAGGAGAAACGGCACAAAACACUGGUAUAAUAAAUACAUUCACAGCAGAAACAACUUGGCUCUUGUUGAGACAGAGAAUGCAGGGAGGUAUCUGUGCUGCCCAUGGGACUGUGGUAUACACACAACCAAGGUAACUGCAGCUGCUGCUCGCCAGAGCCUCCAAGUUCACGUGGAUGCAGCUUCAUGACUUGUUUUGCAACCCAUCCUGAACCAGUUCUCAUGUAACUUAAUAAACUUAAAGCUAAUUCAAGUAAUUCAACCAGUGAUGCCCAUUACUGGAGCACACAAACAUCUCAUGAGCCUGGAUUCAUCCUCAGCCCAGGCAGUGCUUUUAUCCCCAUUCUACUCUGGGAAGCAAAAAUGGAACAGGGCAAAAUGACUUCCACAGAGAGGCUGGAAAUGAGUAGCAGAGCAGGAAACUAGACCUACAUCCCCUCAUCAUCUUGUUACUUCUCAUUUAAUGGUUACAGCUGGAGAAUUAAAGCUAUAUCAUAUUCUUGUGGGCACACAGCACAUGCCAAGCAAGCUGACAUUUCAAAGACCUAUUGUUUUUCGAGCGGGUUCCUUCUAUCUGGGAAAAUGUUCUAUUAUCUUGGGGGGAGAGAGGCAGAAACUUGCAUCAGAAAUCGCUUGAUUCUGCAGCCAGCUUGUUAGAUGUUAGUCCAGGCAUUGUCUGGAUGUCAGUCCAGACCAAGAAUAGUGGAUCUGACCGCCUGUGUGAUGUGUUUACUUUGCCACCUGCUUUCAGAGACCACUACAUAAGCAAAUGACUGUUUAAAAUGCUUUUAUGUGUGCAUCUCGCAAGAGAACUGUGUCACAGAUGAUGCUCUGAGAGGGAGCUCUCCCCAGACUGCCUCUAUGUUAAAAGCAGGGCAACUGAGGAUUCUUUUCAAUGGGGGUAUUUACAUUCCAUUACAAAACAAACACUGGUAGUAUUUCACAUGCAUUCCCGGAACAGAAGUCAACAGUAGCUGCACACUGUCUCAUUGCUCUUUAAUUCAGUUUGCGUCAGAGAGAUCUUAAAGUCAAGAAUCACAUUUGCAGAUGGUCGGGCAGUUCAUGAACUGCUGGAGCUGCCCAGAGGUUGUGUAAGUUAAGGAUGCAAAACAAAGGCAGUUCACAUCCAAACUGCAGGAGGUAAAGACCUGCUGCUCUCCCAUCUCCUUCCCUCUCCAAGGGUCUUUUUUGCCAUCCUUUGGAUGCUGUUUUAUAUCUCUCAUCUCUCGUGAGGCAACUUAGCACCCCAGCCUGCAUCUGUUAUCCCACUGUGCUCAUCCCUG